GGCGGGUGCGUGAACAGAUGGGUGGAAGCUGUGAGGGUUAGUGACAGAUCUGCGUAAGAGCACCCUGCGGGCCAUCGACGACCGCAGAGUCAAUCAAUUUCCGGUCGCGAGCCCGGCCCGGUAAUCGGCUUGCCGCUGAGAACCCUGGGAAAUGUAGUUAGGCACGAGCAGCUGCCGUUAGCUGCGGGUUUGCUGCCGGCACCGCGGCUCCUCGGCUGUUCGCGGCUCCGAUCGACUUCCCACGAGUUCCUGCUGUUCUUAUGCUCCACGCUCCCCAGUUUGAAACACACAAUACCUCCAAUGGAAACACGAUCUGCACCAUCAGCUUCAGACGUGUUCUUGGAGCCCUGACCAAAGAAUCUACCUCGAAUUGGGGACUUUGUGAGCGUUAACCCUGCGAGGAACGUCAAGCAGAGCGCUGGAGAAGCUUGUGGCCCCCAUGCCAAACAACGUCACAGCACGCUCAGGUACCCUCCGUUGGCUUCAAGAUCUUUUGGAGGGAAAACUAGGCCAUGUCGUUACUGGGAGAGACACUCCAAGCAGAUCAGAAGAGGGAAAAGCAAUCCAGCCUUCAAGAUAACACCAUGCGAGCCUGGAGAGAUGGCUCAGCAGUUAGAGCUCUCCCUGCUCUUACAGAGGACUGGAACUGGUUCCCAGCACCCACAUGGGGCAGCUGACAGCCACCUGAUGCCCUCUUCUGACUUUCUCAGACACUGGCACUCAUGUGUCCUGCCCAUCC
rnacentral:lncRNA from 1 species